UACGAAGGGGACUAGCGUUGUUCGGAAUUACUGGGCGUAAAGCGCACGUAGGCGGAUUUGUCAGUCAGGGGUGAAAUCCCGGGGCUCAACCUCGGAACUGCCUUUGAUACAGCAAGUCUAGAAUCCGGUAGAGGUGGGUGGAAUUCCUAGUGUAGAGGUGAAAUUCGUAGAUAUUAGGAAGAACACCGGUGGCGAAGGCGGCCCACUGGACCGGUAUUGACGCUGAGGUGCGAAAGCGUGGGGAGCAAACAGG
rnacentral:rRNA from 1 species